UACGUAGGGGGCAAGCGUUGUCCGGAUUUAUUGGGCGUAAAGAGCGUGUAGGCGGCUAGAUAGGUCCGUUGUGAAAACUCGAGGCUCAACCUCGAGACGUCGAUGGAAACCAUCUGGCUAGAGUCCGGAAGAGGAGAGUGGAAUUCCUGGUGUAGCGGUGAAAUGCGCAGAUAUCAGGAAGAACACCCGUGGCGAAGGCAGCUCGCUGGGACGUGACUGACGCUGAGACGCGAAAGCGUGGGGAGCAAACAGG
rnacentral:rRNA from 1 species